AUUGAACGCUGGCGGCAGGCCUAACACAUGCAAGUCGAGCGGAUGCAGGGAGCUUGCUCCUGGCUUCAGCGGCGGACGGGUGAGUAAUGCCUAGGAAUCUGCCUGGUAGUGGGGGAUAACGUCCGGAAACGGGCGCUAAUACCGCAUACGUCCUGAGGGAGAAAGGGGGGGAUCUUCGGACCUCACGCUAUCAGAUGAGCCUAGGUCGGAUUAGCUAGUUGGUGGGGUAAAGGCCUACCAAGGCGACGAUCCGUAACUGGUCUGAGAGGAUGAUCAGUCACACUGGAACUGAGACACGGUCCAGACUCCUACGGGAGGCAGCAGUGGGGAAUAUUGGACAAUGGGCGAAAGCCUGAUCCAGCCAUGCCGCGUGUGUGAAGAAGGUCUUCGGAUUGUAAAGCACUUUAAGUUGGGAGGAAGGGCAGUAAGUUAAUACCUUGCUGUUUUGACGGUACCAACAGAAUAAGCACCGGCUAACUUCGUG
rnacentral:rRNA from 1 species